rnacentral:rRNA from 1 species
GACGAACGCUGGCGGCGUGCUUAACACAUGCAAGUCGAACGGUGAAGCGCCUUCCUUUUUGGUGGGUGUGGAUGAGUGGCGAACGGGUGAGUAACACGUGAGUAACCUGCCCCCUUCUUCUGGAUAACCGCAUGAAAGUGUGGCUAAUACGGGAUAUUCUGGGUCUGUCGCAUGAUGGGUCUGGGAAAGAUAUUGUUUCGGUGGGGGAUGGGCUCGCGGCCUAUCAGCUUGUUGGUGGGGUGAUGGCCUACCAAGGCGGUGACGGGUAGCCGGCCUGAGAGGGUGGACGGUCACACUGGGACUGAGACACGGCCGAGACUCCUACGGGAGGCAGCAGUGGGGAAUAUUGCACAAUGGGCGCAAGCCUGAUGCAGCGACGCCGCGUGAGGGAUGGAGGCCUUCGGGUUGUGAACCUCUUUCGCCAGUGAAGCAGGCCUGCCUCGUUUGUGGGUGGGUUGACGGUAGCUGGAUAAGAAGCGCCGGCUAACUACGUG